rnacentral:lncRNA from 1 species
GGCAGAAAUAUCAAGAAAAUAUCUUUGGUCAGCCAGUAUGCUAGCCUCUACUUCUGUCACAUUUUCUAAGUCCUCUUCCAGGUAUUAUUACCUUCCUGUCGGUAACAUCCUUCCUGGAACCCCAGGGAUAAGCAAUGAUGUGACCACUGAUCCUCCUUUCCCUCCCACCUCUUUGAGAACUUCAGACAAUUUAAAAAGAAUAAAUGGUGACUGAACAUAGAUAACCCUCUGGGAGAGAACUCUACAGAGUUCUCUCCGAACUCAUAAUGCAGCAUUCUAGUUGAGAAUCCACAAGGUGAAAUUUCCAUAUUCAGCACACAUUCCUUGUCCUGUCCAACCUUUGGCUCAUAACUUGUUACUUUUCAUGUAUUUGUGUAUUUGCCCCCCUUACCAACCUCCAUGAGACGGGAAUUCAUCUUUAAAUCGCCUAUAG